rnacentral:lncRNA from 1 species
UUUGUUCUCCCCUACCUUCCAUGACUUCCUUGCCUUCUAUCUCUUUCUUUUCUUCUUUGCUCUAAAUUUGUUGAUGGGUUCUUCAUGUAUUAUUGUUGUAGGCUUGUUGAAUCAUUUGCAUCAUCCCAUCAAAGAAUCCACAUCUAUUACCAGUUAUAUAUUUUUGAUAACACAAACAUUAUUGCAAGAUUAGUUGGUGGUCUUGGCAUGUUAAGUUCAGCGUAAAGUCUAGAAUAACAAAUAUGAACUAAUAUGGUAAAAAUAAAUACAAAGAUAAGAAAUAAGGUUAAGUUGAACUAGAAAUGCAUGAAAAUAGAGGAGUAUAAUGAUAGGCAUAAAAAAAUAAUAGAGAAGAAAUUGGAGAGAGAGAAGAUUGAGAAAAAGGCAUAAAAAAUCUCAAAUUUGUCUACAAUGGUCUUAGAAGCAAAUGGCUAAGAUGAUGGCUAAUAUAAAUCCUAAUGUGACCAUUAGACCCUCUUUUACAAGGUCUCACACUCCUUUUUUAUUUGUAUGACACGCUCAUUUGCAAUUUAUGUCACAUAAGAUGUCAAGUCAAAAUUAAGUGUUUAAAAUUUUAUGUUUUGAUGGGUUGAGGGGUCCAUAUGACAAAGGGCUACGUAGAGGUGUCCGUAUUACAAACUCAGACAAGUACAAGCGUAUAGUAGAUCAUUUUACCUUAAAUUAUUGAAUCUCAAAAAUGAAAAAACUAAUGAAAACAUUUUGGUUCCAAUAUUGGGUUGGUUUUGCUACUUUUCUUUUUCUACUAUACAUUUUUUUUAAUUCUGCCUCUGUUUACAACUAAAGAUUGUAUAGGAUGUGUAUAAAAAAUGUAUAAUUAUUAUAUAAAAUAUGUAUCUGUAUAAAAUUUUUAUAAAAUUUGUAUAAGGUGUGUAUUGAAAAUUUAUAAUUAUUGUAUGGACUAUGUAUAUGUAUAAGAUUUGCGUAGUUGCUGCAUACUCUGUGAAUAAAAAUUAUAUAAUUGUUGUAUAGAAAUGUAUUUAAAAGAAUUUGUAUAAUUAUUUUAUAUAAUAUGUAUUUAUAUAUGAUGUGUAUAAAAAUGUAUCAUAUGGUAUAAAAUAUGUAUCUAUAUAUAAUUUGUAUGUAUAAUUAUUGUGUAAAAUAUGGAUCUAUUUAAUGUAUGAAAUAUACAUGUAAUUCUAUCAAAUAUAUAUUGAUAUGUUCUUUCUAGGUUGUAUUUGAAAAAAAAAACAUACUUUCUUUAUAAUUGAUUAUUAAAAAAUACUAAUUACAAUGCAACAAAAUUAUAUUUGUAUAUUUAAAAAGGAUUAACAACUAAAAGAAUAGAUCUUUUUUAAAAAAUGGAGCCAAAAAAUAAGAAAUGAAAAAAAGUAGAAAAACAAAAAGAAGAAGCAACUUCUAACAAAAGGAGAAGGCCAAUGAAAUGGCUAGGAAAUGGUAAAUCUAAUCCCUUGGCCAUUUGCUAGAACUAGUUGUCAAUGAGUGUUAUGUUUGGGAUUAUUUACCCAAAUUCUCCCCCUUACAAGAUAAUUACAAAAAUUCUUUAAAGAACUUUCUCUCUCUAAUAAUCUAAUACAAUGUUGAUACAUUGCCUAAUCCACAAUUUUCAGCUACAAUAGUGGCACAACCCAUCAAAUCUGACACUUAGAGAUAAUGAGCUAAAAAAUGAGCUGAAUUAAAGGCAUGCAAUGGUAGUUUUGAAGAUUUUUUGAUUGACGUCAUCUUCUUCUUCAUCUACAAUUUAAAAAGUUUCUAUUGUUUUCAAUCUCAUCUAAACUUCUCCCUCAAAUCUUUAAAGAGGUUAGUUUGUUUUCAAAUUUUUUCAAGUUCAGUAUAUUUUAAAUUAAAUUUUAUUAAACAUAAUUUAGUUAGUUAAAGGAAUUAGAACCAUCGUUUAGUCUUGGUAUAAACCAUUAUAUGAGCAAGAUUUAAUAGAGAAAUUAGUUAUAAAAAGUGCAAUGCCUACCGUAGAUAAUACUAAUCCACCGACAAAAGUGCAAUUUUGUUACGAGUCAUUUUGAUUCAAAAGAUAAAAUAUUUUUGUGAAAUAGAUCUAAGCUCACAACAAUCAUACGAUGAUGAAGAAGUUAUGGGAGAAAUUACCUGCAACAUUAAAAAUAUCAGUGACAUCAUCUUAAAGAAUAAAAUGGCCUCUACCGAAGGUAUGCCAUUAUGUAUCUUCAGUAGUAUUGUGAUUUUGAAUCUCUACAUUAUUAUGUAUCUACUGCUUAUUUGUGCAAUUUGAUACAUAAUAUUCAUAUAUCAGAUCAUAUUCUACCCUUACAGAUUGAUAUGCAUAUGUAAAAGAUACAUAAUAUUUAUGUAUCAGAUUUCAUUAUUGCCUAUCAAAUACAUAAUUGAUGAAAAUAUACAUAACAUUUAUAUAGCAGGAAAACCCACAUUUUCAGCAGAUAAAUAAUCUAAAGAAACAUACAUAGUAUAUGUUAUCACGUGUUAUAUAUUACAUUUUAUAAUGUGUAAAGGAUACAUAAUAUUUGUUUUAAUUGAUUUGUUUUUGCCAGGCAUGAAAUAUAUUGUUAAACAUAUUCCACCUCAUCCUUUAAGAUUUGACAGCUCAUGCAACCAACAUUUUCUAACUGAUUUUGUUCAUAUUUCGAGAAAGGAGAUCAUUGAUUUAUUUUAAAAACAUAUUUUGGUAUUUAUCUGAAUAAACCAAAUUAUAAGUUCACCGAUCAGAUAACCAAAUGCAUUUUAAUGCUAUUUAUAACAGGAUAAUGUUGAUGAUGUUCAUGUAUGGGUCAAAUAUAAUAUUCUCAAAUUUUUCAUAUUUAAAUUUGCUAUUAAUAUCGACUUGAAAUGCACUGGUAAUACAUCAAAUUUUGAGUACCUAGAUUUACCUUCGAGUAUUUUGAUGGGAAUGUAUUUUCCUGAAAAAGAUGUGUUAGUAAGGACAAAUUUUGUUGAACAUUUCAAGUUUGGUAUUUCGACAAUGAUCAGGAUGCGCUCAAGAUGGGUAUCUUGUACUUUAUUCAUACUUUUAUUCUCUCCCAAAUGAACGAUUCACCUAUGAGUGUUGUAGACUUUAAGAUGGUUGAAUACGGGAGAUAUAGAAAUUAUUCAUGGAGAAAGAUUGCUUUCAACAAAUUGAUGCAUACACUUAGACAAGAUGUGAAUGUUGUAAAAAAAUUUAUCGAUUAGGAGACAUGCCACAUAGACAAAAUUUACAGAUGCAUGAAUGUUGCUCUAUAGUUGAGGGAAAGGUGGUUGUCCGUUAGAGUGACAUUAUUCCAAGGAUACUUAAUUGAAAAGUUAUUGAAGUCUGACCGCAAUAUGAAUAUUUUAUGGGAGAAUAUUUAGCAAGAUAUAUCUCGUAUUCUUUUUCUUUAAAGUAUUUUUUUUACGUUAGUACAUCACACAUAAUAAACUAAUAGUUUAGUAUAUUUUGAUCGACAAAAGAUACAUAAACUUUUAAAACCAUAAAAAAAC